UAAAGGUUUCAUGGGGUAGAGUAGGGAAAAUUAGUGGCAUUCUGGUUAAAUUUUUGUUUAAUUUGUUAUUUAGCUGAUUAUGUGUUGUACUCAUAUGAGGUGUUCUUGUGUUCUAAAGCAUGCAACUCAUCUGGAUUUGGACACAUCCACGUCUUUCUUUGGUGUUUAUGAUGGCCAUGGAGGUGGUGUGACUUUCCUUACAUAGUUUGGGGUAAGAGGUGAAGCAACUCUCUGACCUCAGGUGACUUCCAAAAACGAUCAAGCACAAGGCUGAUGCUUCAAAACCAUAUAUAUUCCUUCCUGUGUAGAAUUUUUUUUGGAUUCCUUCAUUGAUUUUCCUUUUAAUUUUUGUUCAAUUACUUACUGGUUUUCAAUGGCUGGAUGUUUAAAACUUGUCUCAAUUAAUGUUUUGAAUGGAAUGAUUGUAAAGUUUGGGAUUGAGCAGGAAAAUAUGAUGAAUUUUAAUGUUAUAUUUAGGUUGGGUUGAAUGAAUUUUGUUCAAUAUUGGAUUGAAUGUUUAUAAACAAAAAUUGAUUGUUCAAAAAAAAAAAA